UUUCAAACAACUAGUAAAAGAUAUCUUGCCUCUAUGUUUUUGUUUCAGGUUAGAUAGGUCCUGUUUAAUUAUUAGUUCGAGCGGCGAUAUGCCGCUUAUAGUAGUUGUGUCUGUUCAAGUGAAACUCGGUUAUUGGAUGGCAUAAAUUCGCUGACGAUGCGAUAGAACUGCGUGCUUAUUUUAAAUAAUCACUAUAUGCUUUUCUCAGAAUCCCAGAGCAUAUUGGUAAAAUAGGCCGUAUAUUUGGCAUGACUGUUUAUUUUCUACAGUUGGUUGAAUAAAAUUAAAAAUCAUUUGCUUUCUUUUCCAGUAGCAUUUGGAACGCUCUUUUUACACCAUAUGGCAGCAAUCGAAAGCUUUUUGACCGAUUGCGCCUAUAUUAACAAACUCUCGCAACUAUUUUUCGUUAGUAUACCAUGGUUCGUACCUAUGUUUUCGACGAGAGUAGAAGCUUUUUAAGGCUGAUACCUGACCUCGUUACGCUGACGAAACUGCAAAAGCUUUUAGGAAAAUUCCCAUUCAGUUCAGCCUCGGCAGGUGACGUCACACCUUCCAUUGCCAGACGAACGACAUUUUUUCUAACUGCUCAGACAAUAUAGCUGCGAUGACAUUUACUCAGAUGAAUAGUAACUCUCUAAGCGUUGCAUGCGUCAUCGAAAAAUUAUCCAUAUAGCGGUAAGCCUAUAUUACAUGAGCGUAUGCCGUAUCAUGUCUGGGCGGAAAAACUAUCCUAUCAAAUGUUGCCGCACUUGCCCUAACAGGACUGCGGCCAUGUUCGAUACUGUUCGAGUGGUUUCUAUAAUCGCUGGAAGGGCGCCAUCUUGGAUUCUUUCAUAGUCACACCACUAUGGGGGCGACUGCGUAGUUGGUGGAAAGGAGGUGGCGCGGCUGUCGCUCAUAUAGGGCUUAGCAUUAGCCUGUUUAGUCAUUGCUUCGGUGGCAAUUGAUGAAGAUGUGUGGUGCUUGUAAGAUAGAUGAAGCGACAUGCAACCAAUAGUGUUAAGAUGAGCAUGUUUUGUGUCUACUAGUUUACCAGCUAUUCAUCGAUGAUCAAGGUAUUCGUAGGUAGUAUGGAAUGAAGAUGGUCAUCCACCAACAAUCCCAAUAUGUUUUACCGGAUGGAAUGUAGUAUUGCGUCGAGUCGGCGGAAACACGCUGUCCGGUUACGUCUUUUACGUCGCUAUUUCAUAGAAAUAUUAAACGGUUUGAUGGAUCUGCGAAUUCGUCCAAAAGUCGUUAAGCUGUGAGCAAAACGUAAUUAAAGCACAACGUAACUAGUCGCACUUAUUUACUCGAUUACGUCUAAUGUUGUAGUGGGCAGUAUCGCCUAUUGUAAUAUUAUAUGUACACGUAUAGAUGAUAUAUAUUAUUGGCAAUAUUUGCGUGAUAUGUGAAUGCCUCCAGUUUGUUUGCCAGUGUACCGAUAUAGAUAGGGAAUAUAUACAGUGCUGCGUACUCGUAUCUUUCUUUGUUCAUUUAAUUUCCCUCCCGGCCAUUCGUAUGGCUGACGGGAAUAUCACCAAUGGUUUCUCGUUUGUGGAAUCAACCUUGUGUGCAUCCUGAACAUAUUUGAUCAUCUAUACAUAUCUUCAUUAAGCAGUACGUAAAAGGUUUAGCGAUGUUCGUGAAUAUUACAGACCUCGUUAGGCUUAGUAAGAUAUCUGCCAUCAUUGUUCGCUCCAUCGAAGUUUAGUCAUGGUGUUUCACAGCAUAGCAACAGCCGUAUAGGCUUACCGAGUCAACCAAGAAGUGACGUCAUCCAUAUCGUCACCGAACGGAACGAUCUUAAGAAGGCUGGGACGUUUUGGUAAGCUGAUAUGGACGAACCAGCAAGCGAGCUAUAGGUACCCAGACCGUGAGACAGGGUGUACUCCCAGACAACCUAGAUUCUUCCACUUAUUCCAGCCUAAGCAAAUACGAUUGUGUGACAUCAUUGGUUUUGGUAAGUCCGAGCUAACCUUCGCCCAAAGAUGGUCGGACGUGUUCGUUCAGACGAAUAGUAUCAUCAAUAUGGUUUUUAUGUAUAUAUAAUUCAGAUAGCAGUUGUGUUUAUUAGUAAUCAACGUAUUCUAUGCCACUGAACUCUCUAGCUACAAUUUGUACACUAUAAUUUUUCGAAUUAGUGAUUGAUUUCGAGCUGUUCUGAAGAACGUGCUUCAAAAAUUGGCCGUCUUUAUAGUGCUCACCAUAACCGCGUGUGGCUUCGGCCAACAUCGCUGUCGCUCCCACAGGCCUGCGUUCUUUCUGGUUUCUUUUUGUGUCGGUGUGUAUCGAUCUAUGUCUGCCUAUAUGCUGAUUUUUGUCGCCUUAGCCGCUAUCACAUAGCGAGGAAGCGGGUGGGUGGUUCAGCGAUUGACCUCGGAUCGUGCGUGUUCGUGCCGCCUACCAGCUAGCGUCUCAGCAGUCUAUCGCACGACGUUUCCUAUAGAAGAUCCAACGAAUCCGAUCUAAUUGGGCUCGUCGGAGAGGCCGAUGCUGAUAAAUGUAAUAGUUGCGCAGUGUAGUUCUACCAAUGAAGCAAAACGUCAUCAGGUUGUUCACGGGCCGACGCGGGUCUACCUGCAUUAUAUCACUACAACUACCACGGUUUUAACUAUCCUGAAAAUCUGCAACCAUUGCUGUUCACCCGUUCAGCUCUACAUGCUUCAAUCUACAAGCUGCGUUUAGCAUUUCUAGUGUUUUUGAGCUACGCCUUUCGUUUUUUUUUUUUUUUUUUAUCAGUGUUAGCACAGUGCUUUACGUAAUUAGUGCCCGAUGCGCAAUUCGUGCGGCUCCUGCUAUUGAGCGGACCCGUUCCUGGAGGCUGCCAGCCAAUUCCACAUUGUGUCGAUUUCGAUGACUCAUCUGCUAUUCAUUGGACCUUGUGAUGCUGCGAACCUUCGCGAAUCUUUCGUCGGCGAUUAUGAUAGUGACGCAGUGGUUUCGUCGGCUACAACAGCGUUGUCUGCAGUCACUUCGUCAUCGGUAAUAUGGGUAGUCGGGUUGGAGCUGCAAGGUGUCGUUGUUCGGUAACGUCCGCGAAGGGUCAGCAGCAGGCAGGUUGUCUACGCAAUUUCUCAGUCGGUAAAGUCAACUAGAUGGUAUUUGGCACGGAAUUAUCUUUUAGCGAUGCAGCAGAUAGGCGGCCGACGCUUUGUGCCAGUUUUGCUUGAAUUAUUGCCUGCUGUUCAUGCUGCUAUUUUCGUUUGGACCAGCUCACCAGCAGUCUACUGCGCAUUUCACGGACGAACACAUCUAGCGGCGUUGAACACCACCAGGAGCGGCAAGGCAUCCGAUACCGUAUGGCCGGCGUUUCUCCCGAUAAUGCGGCGUGAACAGACAAACAAGCAGAUUCUACAGGCGAUGGGUCCGUUCGUACAACUGAUACUAGAAGGAAAUCUAUUGCACACAAAUUCACCGUACCGCGGAGUUUGUCGCUAAGAGUAGACAGAAAAUUCACUGAGCGAUUACGGGUGAUUUUAUCUAGCUUUUUUACAAAUCUGAUUUGUAUAUGUAUACUUUUAUUUACUACAUGCCUUGUCCAUCUCGUACGGAAGUACUACUCGUAAUGAAGAUAUUUUAGUUCAUAAGUUGAAAAACGGCACCAUGAUACUUUAGGUAGACCAACAGUUCAGUUAGUUCGUUGUAGGUUGGCACCACAUGAAAGGUUACAGCACGCCGAUAGUCGAUUCGAGAAAACAUCUGACCCUGUUGGAGAUCUGCGCACUUGGAUGUGAAGACAAUGGUUCAUCCUGACGCCUUCUCCAGUUUCCAUAACGCUUUCUCAAAUUUCCGUGUUUUGUGUGGCAGAUGUGGUUAUUGGAUUGUUUGCGGUUUGCCGAUCGCUUGUCCAUUCACAGAGCUCGACAGCCUCAAAUAAUGGGAGUCAACUUGAUGAAGUCACCUAUGAAACGGAAAAAAUUCGCAUUAUUAGCGGCCGUGAACAGUAGGGUAUCCAUGGUUACAGCUCAGCGGCUGUGGGCAGUGAGGUAUCCGUGGUCACGGCUUGAUAAAUGGAAACAUCGAUGGCUCUUGCUACAAUCAGUGUUUGCUCAUCAGGGGGUCGAUUUGGCGCAGUUAGCUGAAAACCAGGAAAGUGGUAAUGACCAACGGCGAGCGUUAUUCAUCCUCGUAUUAUAUUAGGUAUUUGUACUCAAUUCUGCUGAUGAGACGAAAGACAUUAUUCGCCAGUGGCAAGCGGAUGGUAUACAAACUGUGAUAUUUCAAUGAUUUGAUAACGUGCAUCUAAAAAGACGUUAAAAAGUAGCAGAAUCAAUAGAUAGAACACAACCCUCCCGAGUUUUGCGAUCUGUUCCUAGGCGGUUACUUAAAGAAGCUAGUAAGCGUUAACUACUUGCUUAAAAAGCAAAUCAACACAUCAUUCUCUUCAAAGUCGAAUUUUUGGCGUACAUCAUCAUCCACUGUUAUUCUUCCUUCGUCGCUCAUAGAAAGCGGUCGUAAAAUGCUGAUAGCAUCACUUCAAGAAAUUCUUGAAGAGACUCCAGAAUGUAUUAGCAGCCAGCGGAUGGUGGCAGCACAUCAACGAUGAGAUCUGUAUUAAUAUUAACUCAAACGUAAAGCCAGAAUUGAAGGACUUCUUCGUAACUUGGAUUUGUCACUUCUCGACAAGUCAGAAGUGAAUCGUUCUCCACAUAUGAUCCCUAACUCGGACACCGGCUGCUGUGAGACAAGAAAUGUUGUCAGGCAAGAAAUUUCGUUUUAGCUUGAUUUUGAACAAGACAAUAUGAUCAAUACGAAACAAUAUUAUUAAAAAGAUCUAGAUGCCCUAGGUAGACGACACUCGCACUCUUUUCUCCUUCAGGCGACUAGCCAGUCGUUGAAGUUUUGCGCAACCUGGUUGAUUUUGUUAAUAACGCAGUCAUUCGUGGCGAAAAAGGAACGCGUUACCGCGUCGCGUAUACCAACGUCUCAAUGAAUGAACAAAAUAUUCGGAACGCUUUGAAUGGGUUCGAGAUGGAUGUCCCCACAUUGCGCGAGCUGAAGCUACUGCCGCGGGCCGCUACAUGUUGUGCGCGAGCGUCUGGGUAGCAGGUUCCGUUUUGUCUUCAUGCCUGAGUUUUCUGGUGCGUUGGAUAAAUGAUAUCUUCAACGGGUGUCAAAGGUUGCCUCGGAUCAAAAAUAGACUGUCUCAAUCGGCGUUAUAUGAAAAAUGGUGAAAUCGGUAACGGGCUACGAAAACAUAAUAUCUUUGUUUGUGCUGUGUUGUUGUUUUUUGCUAGCGACCAUGUAGAGCUGUGCAGUAGAUUUAGUUGUAUUCACAGAUCCACUCGUAGUAAAACGAGUGAGCUGCGUGUUUCGAGUGGCUCCGGAUCUAUCCAGGAUCGACGGCGUUCUUUGAUAUCGCGACCGCUUCUCAUUACGCCUAAACGUGCGAAGACCAGCGGUCGAGUUGUGUAUGUGUUGGUGUUUUUGUGUUAUGUUUUAGUGUGGAGGCGCGGAAGAAAAGUCGUGUUGUUUGGUUGAUAGUUUCUCAGUGCAGAAGUUUAUGUGAACUCGGAAGAUAAGAAUGGAAACCUAGGUUUCUAUCAUUUCUGGUCCAGAUUUCACUCUCUGGAUAAACUUCAUCUUCCAGACCCCACUCAACAAGCAUUUCUAAAACAAUCCACGUGGUGUAUCCAUCGUUAAUUCAUCUAUAAACAUCUAUGAAGUCAAAUGAUCAACAAACACUUCCAAAAUAAUCCACGUGUAAUACCCAUCGUUAUUUCAUCUAUAAACAUCUAUGCUCGACAAACAAAAAAUGCCCGACUCACAUAUCGAUGAUUUCGAAUACUUCCUUCAUCGACAUUACUAUACAGGCCCACAGUUCGCCCGCCUCUACUAAAUUUCUUUACAGGAAAAUUCCACGAGAAAAAGAACAACAUUAGGUACCAUUCCGUGAGCUAUAAGAUAGCAAACGAAACGAAUUUGCUCUUCCACUACAGGACUUUCCCAACCACCCAGAUCGGCUCGAACAUUUGCGCCAUAGAAUGACUGUUGGAGUUGCAGACGGUCACAUGGUGACACAAUUUUGGCUUCGCUGAUAUUUUGGGUGAUUUGCUGUCUCAACCUUGCGUGGACUCGUAUCUGCUAAGCUAAAUGAUGGUGUAUUUUGAAUGUUGAGGUUGCGUGAAGAAUUCAAAAAGCCCGCUAUUGGGUACAACCGAUCACUAUUUUGCACUUCAGAUGGCGAUUCACAUCAACAUACACACGAUACACAAUGAGGACGAACGGUUCCAGUUACUCCAUGGAUGAUCGCAAGGAUACUCACAACUAUAUCGAACUAGAGGAACGCGAUGUUCGUAGAAACGCGAUGUUCGUAGAAACGCGAUGUUCGUAGAAACACGAUGUUCGUAGAAACACGAUGUUCGUAGAAACACGAUGUUCGUAGAAACACGAUGUUCGUAGAAACGCGAUGUUCGUAGAAACGCGAUGUUCGUAGAAACGCGAUGUUCGUAAAAACGCGAUGUUCGUAAAAACGCGAUG